AAGCAAAUAUUUCGCUGCACAAAGCAUGCUGGGAUACCUGGAGACACGGACCAAGCUGGCGGAGCAACAGGAAAAAGAAGCCCCAGAAUUUCUGCUUGGAGGAAGGUGGCAGCUAUUGUUGGGGAAUCUUGUGGCCUGGCCUCGUCACUCUGAUACCAGGUGUGCUCAGACCACUCUGUGCUGUCUCUUCCUGUGAAGAGAUGCAUACCCCCCCCACCCACCCCCGACAGACCAUUAGACUCUCCAUAUGAGCCUCCUGUUCCUUGUUGUGUUUGGAAGGAACCUCAGAGCUGCAGAGUUCAGAUCAUCAGAGUCCACAUUCUGUAGAUCAAUAAAGUAUUUAGUAUCACAUAUCUCACACACUGGAACUACUUUUUUCAGAAGGCAGUGUAGAAUCUGUACUGGCUCGGGUUAAUGAUUUAAACCUUAAAUAUACCAACAUAUAUAGUUAACUACUGUAAUACUUCACCUU